rnacentral:lncRNA from 1 species
CUUGUAUGAUUUUUAAUUUUAGUAUCUUGUGUAUAAUUCGAAGUUUAGUAUGACGUCCAUUAUCACUGUACUAAUAUACAUAUUUUUUAAGGGGCCAGCUGAAGGACGCCUACGGGUGCGGGAGUUUCUCGCUACAUUGAAGACCCAUUGGUGGCCUUCGGCUGUUGUCUGCUCUAUGGUCGGGUUGUUGUCGCUUUGACACAUUCCCCAUUUCCUUUCUCAAUUUUACUUGAAAUAAGUAUAUCAUACAAACAAGUUUAAGCAAGCAACAACUAUAAAUAUAUAUACCAGACAGAUCUAAGUUUGUUUGAGAUACAGGUUUAAUACAAAUAUUUAUAAAUGCAAGGGUUUUUUUAACUUACGAUUUGAAUGGAGAAUUGUCUUAUUAGCACUCAUACCACAUUUUUUAUAAAUAUAUGUUCAAUGCUGGCC